CCUUACAGUCCCCUCUAAAGCAAUUAUUCUGUUCAAAAGAGGAUUUGUUUGUGAUAUUCCUUUAAGAAUCUUUAUUUAUUCCCCCAACAGUUUCUUUUUCUGCAUCCGCUGCUCUGUUAAGUGAUCACCACAUUCAUUGUUCUCGUUUCUAUUAUUUCUGAAAAAAAUCUUCAGGAUUCUGCUUGUGGGAGUGGAUGACAUUUUUACAGUGUUUACAGACACAAAAUGAACAAGAUGUCUGUGGCAACCCUCAGACCAUUGACGCCUUCUCUCCUAUGUAUCAAAUCACACAUUUGGACGUUGACUGAACCCUCACAUGUCAGAUGCUCAAUAUUGAGGUAUAGUAAAAGGGAGCAUGAACUUGAGAAAAUACGCUUUCAACACAAAGCUGUAAUAAUAUAAGGUCAAAUAAGAUUCUGCAUUGGAGAUAGAAAACUCUGAAGGAAG
rnacentral:lncRNA from 1 species